UACGGGGGGGGUAAGCGUUGUUCGGAAUUACUGGGCGUAAAGGGCUCGUAGGCGGCCAACUAAGUCGGACGUGAAAUCCCUCAGCCUUAACUGGGGAACUGCGUCCGAUACUGAUCGACUCGAAGGCAGGAGAGGGUAGUGGAAUUCCCGGUGUAGUGGUGAAAUGCGUAGAUAUCGGGAGGAACACCAGUGGCGAAGGCGACUACCUGGCCUGUUCUUGACGCUGAGGCGCGAAAGCUAGGGGAGCAAACGGG
rnacentral:rRNA from 1 species